AAUCAUCAGCAUGAGGUUGGUUACUGGUUUGCCUUUUGAGGCUUGGUAGUGUUUUGGUUUUUGCUUCCCAAGCACUGCCAAGCCUCAAUAAUCAAACCAGUAACCAAUCUCAUGCUGAUGAG